rnacentral:lncRNA from 1 species
AGUGGGGUGCAAACAGGUGACAGGGGAUUACGUGGCUUACAGAGGGAUUUCUGCCACUCGCUGCCACGCGGACGAACGCGAAGGACGCCACGGGCAGCGUCAGGGGACUUCCUGGGAGAGACCACGUCUUCCGUCUCUGUCUGGGGUCUACCAGGCCCUGGGAGCAGGAACGCCACCCUCCGAGCUCCUGAGAAAGCCGAAACCAGAGUCGGUCCCCAAACACUGUCUGUGGCAGUGCAGACGGACGCGGGCCAUAAGCAGCAGUUCCCAGAAGCAGGCUCUCAGACAGCGUCCACCGUCGCCAGGAACUGCGGAGAAUGCUCCGUGGAAGGCGGCACGAAGCGCUAAACAUCUGGAGACGGCCGUCCACACGCCAUUUAAAAUCGUCUGUGUCCCCAACAGGCAGGUGCUCCCCACCGGGGGAUUUGGCUUGGAUCUGGGGCAUCGGGGGGAGCCAGGGGGGCACGAGAGCCCACAGCCGGGAGGCUGGGCCCCGGGUCCCCCUCGUGCAGCAGGGCGGGCGCUGGCCUGAAGAUGGGGACGUCCGUGAGGGGGGCUAAGAGGACGGGGUCAGCCAAGGGGCAGGAGGGGCUGGUCCAGGAAGGGUUCUGGGGUGCAAGGCUCCCGAUGCCUCCCAACCAGAGGACAUGGGGUGCUGCGCUGAGGUCAUUCCUUCCUGGGGCAGGAGCCCAGGGGCCCGUGCCAUCGAGGGGCCGGCAAGGACCUAGACGGGGACCCACGAGUCCCCAGAG